rnacentral:misc_RNA from 1 species
GCCUAUAUAGGCUAAACAAUUGAAAAUUUGAAGAUUGAGUGUGGCGGUCAAACGUAAAGCCGUAAAAGGCCAAAACCCCAAAGCACAAAAAAAAACCGUCAGUGCCUGGUCAACAAUAGUCAAAAAGAGAAAAGGUCCAGAUGCUCCCCUUCCCUCGCUGUCUCUAUAACCAUGCCUCUCCUUGAUUCUCACUUCUUCAUCUCCUCAUAACCGAACAGAGCACGUCCAACAGCAACAGGAAUUGGGUCAAGGACUGUCCUUUCCCAAUAACCAUCUCCUCCUUUAGUCGACUAUCUAUCAAAAACUAAUUCUUUUUUUUCUUCUUCUCUCCUCUCUUCAUGGCCGACUCUGUAGGCAAGAGGGAAUCACGUACCCUGUACUCGAAGGCCUCUGCCUGUGAUUCCCCCUCCUUCUCCAACCUUCUCAGAAGCGUUUUGACUACCAAUUCUCCCACUUUGCGAUUUCAGGGGAAAUAUGAGAUAUCCCAAGAAGAUAAUGUGGUGAGCAAAAAGCCUAAAGUGGAUGGAGCAAAGUUGGAACUUCAGGCUGAAUGUGUAAAUCCUUCUACCAAUAUAUCACCUAUUACUCCACCUGCAACGUCCAUGCCUCAUUCAUCUCCUGCAAUCCCAAUGUCUGGGCUAAUAUUAGACCAGAAAAAUGCUGACCAUAAUACCAGUCUUUCCCAUAUUGUUACGGAGAAACCUGCCAGUGAUGGGUAUAGCUGGAGGAAGUAUGGCCAAAAGCAGGUGAAGAGUUCUAAUAGUUCCAGAAGCUACUACAGGUGUGCACUUUCUAAUUGCCUUGCAAAGAAGAAGGUUCAACGCUGUGACCAUUCCAAGGAUAUCAUUGAUAUCGUUUAUAUAGGUCAUCAUAAUCAUGAUCUCUCUCAAAACAAAUGCAACGUGUCAAGAGGAUCUGUGGCAUCUGCUAACCUUGCUGCAGGCCAUCAUAUUAUUGAUUCAAUUCAAAGGGUAGCUGGUGCAGAUAUGUCUAUCUGCUGGGAAGACACCAGGCAGUCAUCAGUGCAUAUCUCUGAAUCUGAACAACAGAGUUCAAGUAGUUCUAGUGGUGAUCUUAGGAUUAAGGUUGUGGAGCACAAUGGUAAUGAGCUGGACUCAAAAAAAUUGUAAGUUAUUUGGAAACAUGAUCCUCUUAAAAUAGCUUCCAUUUAAGUUUUUCGUUAAUGAAAUCAUUGUAUUUUGAUAAUUGUUUUCCAGUUUUGUUUCAAGUGGGGCAGAACAACAGAAAAAUAGCUCUUGUGGGAUUGCAGAUGCUGAGGUUCAGGAGAGGCAUGGUGUGCAACGUACACUGAAAAAAAGGAGUGCGUAUUCAGCUUCUGUCUUGGAAGCUAAUAAAGAGACUAAGAUUGUUGUGCAUGCUGCUGCUGAUGGGGGCAUCUCAAGUGAUGGUUAUCGAUGGCGCAAGUAUGGUCAGAAAAUGGUGAAGGGGAAUUCUCACAUA